AUGGAGUGGAACAGGCUAGCUCAGAAUCCAUUUCUUGCCUUUUACCAGAGAUGGCCGUGGCUCUGUCCAAAAUACUCCAAUACUCGAAUCUUUGGACACUUUCCUAUUCGACAAUAGUU
rfam:Ajellomyces capsulatus NAm1 cont1.1476, whole genome shotgun sequence.